UACGUAGGGUGCAAGCGUUAAUCGGAAUUACUGGGCGUAAAGCGUGCGCAGGCGGUUCGUUGUGUCGGCGGUGAAAGCCCCGGGCUUAACCUGGGAAUGGCCGUCGAAACUGGCGAACUGGAGUGUGGCAGAGGGGGGUGGAAUUCCGCGUGUAGCAGUGAAAUGCGUAGAUAUGCGGAGGAACACCGAUGGCGAAGGCAAUCCCCUGGACCUGUACUGACGCUGAGGAGCGAAAGCGUGGGGAGCGAACAGG
rnacentral:rRNA from 1 species